rnacentral:pre_miRNA from 1 species
UAGGUAGUUUCAUGUUGUUGGGGUUUACGCUCCAGAUGUCCGACAGCAGAAAACUGCCCGGA